rnacentral:misc_RNA from 1 species
GUAUAAAUGAACUAGAAUUUGCUAGGAAGGGAAACACUACUGUUACAAAGAAUAGCUUGGUCAGUUUCAAAGAGUUGCCCAUUCCUAAUUCUGCAAAAUGUUCUUAUCCCCGCAUUCUCAAUUCACAGGGAGAACUCUAAAGUAAGCUGGCAUUGUUACAAGGAAAAAAACAUUUGUCUGAAUCCCUCUGCUUUUUAUGAUAGGAAAAAUUAUGCCUGAAGCACCCAAAAUUAAUCUGGCCCAACUACACAUGCGUUUAGGUGAAGGAAAUGGAAGUAAUGAGCGUUCAACACUAGCCUUUAGACCUUUCGCAGAAUGGAAACGGUUCAAGAUAUUUGCAAAGGGAGUUUGCAUUAUUUAUAUCUUGUAGAGGUCUAAGAAAAUCUCGUAGCACAAAAAUAUCAGAGUGUCACAAUCAUUCCUCCUCUAGUUAAAGGAUGUUGCAUGUUGAAUGCAUCCCUGAUAGAAGUGCACCUGAGGUAGGAGAGGGAGAGGCAGGCAUGCUUCUAUUUGUCAUUGUUCUUAUACUUCCUUUGUCAACUGCGCAUAUAAAAGCUGCACGCAGUUCAGACUGAGGAGCCACAACAGUUUUCAAAUAUUGUGACAUUUCACCAUUAGCAAUGGAAGGUACUUUUUGGCCAGGAACAUCAACAAAAC